UACGUAGGGCGCAAGCGUUGUCCGGAAUUAUUGGGCGUAAAGAGCUCGUAGGCGGUCUGUUACGUCCGCUGUGAAAACCCAGGGCUUAACCCUGGGCUUGCAGUGGAUACGGGUAGACUAGAGGCAGGUAGGGGAGAAUGGAAUUCCCGGUGUAGCGGUGAAAUGCGCAGAUAUCGGGAGGAACACCGGUGGCGAAGGCGGUUCUCUGGGCCUGUACUGACGCUGAGGAGCGAAAGCGUGGGGAGCGAACAGG
rnacentral:rRNA from 1 species